rnacentral:rRNA from 1 species
AUUGAACGCUGGCGGCAGGCUUAACACAUGGAAGUCGAGCGGGGUGAGGUGCUUCGGUACUGAUCCUAGCGGCGGACGGGUGAGUAAUGCUUAGGAAUCUGCCAUUUAGUGGGGGACGACAUUCCGAAAGGAAUGCUAAUACCGCAUACGUCCUACGGGAGAAAGCAGGGGAUCUUCGGACCUUGCGCUAAAUGAUGAGCCUAAGUCGGAUUAGCUAGUUGGUGGGGUAAAGGCCUACCAAGGCGACGAUCUGUAGCGGGUCUGAGAGGAUGAUCCGCCACACUGGGACUGAGACACGGCCCAGACUCCUACGGGAGGCAGCAGUGGGGAAUAUUGGACAAUGGGCGGAAGCCUGAUCCAGCCAUGCCGCGUGUGUGAAGAAGGCCUUUUGGUUGUAAAGCACUUUAAGCGAGGAGGAGGCUACCUGGAUUAAUACUCUAGGAUGGUGGACGUUACUCGCAGAAUAAGCACCGGCUAACUCUGUGCCAGCAGCCGCAGUAACAC